rnacentral:rRNA from 1 species
GCUACGGGAGGCUGCAGUGAGGAAUAUUGGUCAAUGGGCGCGAGCCUGAACCAGCCAAGUCGCGUGAGGGAAGACGGUCCUAUGGAUUGUAAACCUCUUUUGUCGGGGAGCAAAAGACGCCACGCGUGGCGUUCCGCGAGUACCCGAAGAAAAAGCAUCGGCUAACUCCGUGCCAGCAGCCGCGGUAAUACGGAGGAUGCGAGCGUUAUCCGGAUUUAUUGGGUUUAAAGGGAGCGUAGAUGGGUUGUUAAGUCAGUUGUGAAAGUUUGCGGCUCAACAGUAAAAUUGCAAUUGAUACUGGCAGUCUGGAGUACAGUUGAGGUAGGCGGAAGUCGUGGUGUAGCGGUGAAAUGCUUAGAUAUCACGAAGAACCCCGAUUGCGAAGGUAGCUUACUAAACUGUGACUGACAUUGAUGCUCGAAAGUGUGGGUAUCAAACAGGAUUAGAUACCCCAGUAGUC